rnacentral:rRNA from 1 species
UUCCUACGGGGGGCAGCAGUGAGGAAUAUUGGUCAAUGGGCGCAGGCCUGGACCAGCCAAGUAGCGUGAAGGAUGACUGCCCUACGGGUUGUAAACUUCUUUUAUAUGGGAAUAAAGUUUUCCACGUGUGGAAUUUUGUAUGUACCAUAUGAAUAAGGAUCGGCUAACUCCGUGCCAGCAGCCGCGGUAAUACGGAGGAUCCGGGCGUUAUCCGGAUUUAUUGGGUUUAAAGGGAGCGUAGAUGGGUUGUUAAGUCAGUUGUGAAAGUUUGCGGCUCAACCGUAAAAUUGCAAUUGAUACUGGCG